AGUUCGGAUUGUAGGCUGAAACUACGCCUACAUGAAGCUGGAAUUGCUAGUAAUCACAGGUCAGCAUACUGUGGUGAAUACGUUCCCGGGCCUUGUACACACCGCCCGUCACACCAUGAGAGUUGAGAAUACCCGAAGCCCAUGUCAAAGUGGUCGAAGGUAGGCUUGAUGAUUGGGGUGAAGUCGUAACAAGGUAUC
rnacentral:rRNA from 1 species